rnacentral:rRNA from 1 species
AAUGAACGUUGGCGGCGUGGAUUAGGCAUGCAAGUCGAGCGAGAAGAGUUUGGUAGCUUGCUAUUGAACUCGGACCGCGGCGAAAGGGAGAGUAACGCGUAGUUACGUGCCCCAGGGUUCGGAAUAGCCACGGGAAACUGUGGGUAAUGCCGAAUAACGUCUCCGGAUCAAAGGUGUGAUUCCGCCCUGGGAGCGGACUGCGUCCUACUAGCUAGUUGGCGGGGUAAUGGCCCACCAAGGCGACAAUGGGUAGCGGGUGUGAGAGCAUGACCCGUCUCACUGGGACUGAGACACUGCCCAGACACCUACGGGUGGUUGCAGUCGAGAAUCUUCGGCAAUGGGCGAAAGCCUGACCGAGCGACGCCGCGUGCGGGAUGAAGGUCCUCGGGUUGUAAACCGCUGUCGUAGGGGAGGAAGGCUCCGUGAAGAACGGGGUUUGACCUAGCCUAGGAGGAAGUACGGGCUAAGUUCGUGCCAGCCGCCGCGGUAA